UACGGAGGGAGCUAGCGUUAUUCGGAAUUACUGGGCGUAAAGCGCACGUAGGCGGCUUUGUAAGUAAGAGGUGAAAGCCUGGUGCUCAACACCAGAACUGCCUUUUAGACUGCAUCGCUUGAAUCCAGGAGAGGUGAGUGGAAUUCCGAGUGUAGAGGUGAAAUUCGUAGAUAUUCGGAAGAACACCAGUGGCGAAGGCGGCUCACUGGACUGGUAUUGACGCUGAUGGACGAAAGCUAGGGGAGCGAAAGGG
rnacentral:rRNA from 1 species